CGCAUGAGUGGGGAUAAGUUUAAUUGAAAACAAAACGUGGGAUAGUUGAGAACAUCUGAAAUGCUAUUUGUAGCUCAAGGCUAGGCAUAUGAAGAAUAUUUAGUACUGGGAGUACUGCAGAGAGAUUAUAUAGUAUGUGUUUAUCCAUUCCAACUGCAGUGUGAAUGACUAAAGAAUAUUCUAAAGUUCAUUGGAGAGAGACACACACACACACACACAGCCAACAUGACACACACAGCCAACACACACAGUGUAGAUAAACAAGUACAUAAGAGUGGGUGGGACAUAUCCAGGUGGGUUCCUCUGCUAGCCUAAAGCUUAGCUUAAUAUGAACAAUUCCAAAAGGGCAGGAAACUGGCAUGACAUAAUGUCCGAGCAGGAGCUCUGUUGUGAUAGAAUCAGGAUGUACAGGGAGGCUAAUGUUUGUUAAACAAUGUCAACUGACGAGAGGGCAGUGUCAUGCAUGUUACGAACGGAUGGCAGUGGGGGUUUACUCGCUCGCCUACGAAUUCUCAGAAGGGAGCCCGAUCUCCGCCCCCUUUUUGUCCGUCUUCUCUUCACGCAAAUGAUGUGGAUUUGGGCCUGUUCCCAGGAAAGCAGUAUAUCCUUCACGUCGGACUUGUUAAAGGAAAAAGGUUCUACCAGUUUGUGGCAAUGAUGUCAUCUGAACUAGAGUAAACCCUACCAAGCUACCCGGCAAACCACAACAGAGAAGUGAAGGGGUCGCUUGGAGAGAACAUCAAGAUCAAAUCCAAUGAAGCAAGCAGGAACCCUUACCGUGUGAAUGUGGGAAAAAAAUGUUUUGUUAUAAAAUACGGUCAUUUUUGCAUUUCAGUAAGAUUGCAAACACUAUACUUUUAAAAAAGUGUCUAGAUAAAUACCCUGGUAGUGUCGACUAAUUAUUGCUGUACAUUUGUUGUUGCUGUGAACAUAUUACUGCCAGCUUCCC